UACGUAGGGUGCAAGCGUUGUCCGGAAUUAUUGGGCGUAAAGAGCUCGUAGGCGGUUCGUCGCGUCGGCUGUGAAAACCCGGAGCUCAACUCCGGGCCUGCAGUCGAUACGGGCGGACUUGAGUGUUGCAGGGGAGACUGGAAUUCCUGGUGUAGCGGUGAAAUGCGCAGAUAUCAGGAGGAAGACCGGUGGCGAAGGCGGCCUGCUGGGCAGUUACUGACACUGAGGCGCGACAGCGUGGGGAGCAAACAGG
rnacentral:rRNA from 1 species